GAUGAAGCACGUAGCGAAAUGCGAUAAGUAGUGUGAAUUGCAGAAUUCAGUGAAUCAUCGAAUCUUUGAACGCACAUUGCGCCCGCCAGUAUUCUGGCGGGCAUGCCUGUCCGAGCGUCAUUUCAACCAUCAAGCCCCGGGCUUGUGUUGGGGACCUGCGUCCGACGCAGGCCCUGAAAACCAGUGGCGGGCUCGCUGUCCACACCGAGCGUAGUAACUAACCUCGCUAUGGAGUGGCGCGGGCGCCUGCCGUAAAACCCCCAAUUUCACAAGGUUGACCUCGGAUCAGGUAGGAAUACCCGCUGAACUUAAGCAUAUCAAUAAGCGGAGGA
rnacentral:misc_RNA from 1 species